UUACAAAAACUUUAGUGUGUGCAUGCGUCCGUGUGUGCGUGCUUGUGUGAGUGAGUGUGUGUGUGUGUUGUGAUGUAGGCUAUAGAUAUAGACUGAUUGUCUUGGCUUGCAUCCAUGAAAUAUUGUAAUGUUACGGCCCAGGCUACUGCAUAUUGAGAAUAUGUAGAUCGGUGUUGCGCAACAAUCUGGGGAUGAGGACAACCCCGAAUAUUGACGGUAUUUCACACACUGCCAUCUCAAUAUAUAGCCUAACAUAUACAAAUAUAACACUUUAUUAGACACAAAUGUAUUUUCGAGAUAAAUCGGUUUGAUCAAAUACUAAGUUGUACUUAUUGUUCGGUACUUCAGUGAGGGCAGUUACAAUCCAUCACUAAAGAUUUUAUAGAGUUUUCUGAUUCAGCGGAUUUACAAUUUAUUUGUAGAAUCUUCACAACUCACAGCAAUGAAAUGUUAAUUUAUCAUCAUGGGAAAUAGCAUAUAAACAAGUUUCAUAAAAAAGUAAUUCUAAGCAGUGCAGAACAGUUUAACAUCUGAAUUGAUCCAGAAAGCCUAUUUCCUAGAAUAAUUCAUUUGUAUUCCUAUUUAGGCCAUCUCACUUAUGGUCACUUAAAUGUUUUUAAGCUCACCAUGUCCAGUGUUCAGAGUUCAAAACAUUCAUUCACAAAUGUGUUCUAUUUGUUUGCCAAGCGGAGCCAGACAGUCCUGUGUAACAGAUAUGGAAAACUGUGCAUUAGUUAUCAUGAGUUUCGCAAAUGAUAGAGCAGUUGUUGGUGUUUUAGAGCCAUCUGCUGGUGUGAUUGGGUAUUGCAGAUCUGCAUCCGCCUUGGGUGUGUGUCGUCGUCUAGUACGAACCAUAUGACGUGACAUGUGGUAAGUUCGCAUUGUAAAUAGCUCCCGAAGAUUUAUACGUUUUAAGAUCGAGAAUGUAUGUUUAUGUUAUGAACCUUGGCAUAUUAGAUGAUUGUAUAUUUUAUAAUUUAUUAUUGUUUUUAUAUUUGUCAAUUGGUAGGGAGUUUAUUCACAUUUUUAGUUUGACCACAUGUUACCGGUUAGCUAUGUUGGAUGUCCGCUAGCAACACAAGUGUUUUGUUUUACUUGUGCAGAUCCUGCUGUACAAAUCACAAAUAUACCUUUGAAAGAGAA